UACGGAGGGUCCAAGCGUUAUCCGGAAUCAUUGGGUUUAAAGGGUCCGUAGGCGGUUUUGUAAGUCAGUGGUGAAAGCCCAUCGCUCAACGGUGGAACGGCCAUUGAUACUGCAAGACUUGAAUUAUUAGGAAGUAACUAGAAUAUGUAGUGUAGCGGUGAAAUGCUUAGAUAUUACAUGGAAUACCAAUUGCGAAGGCAGGUUACUACUAAUAUAUUGACGCUGAUGGACGAAAGCGUGGGGAGCGAACAGG
rnacentral:rRNA from 1 species